rnacentral:rRNA from 1 species
UACGUAGGGUGCAAGCGUUAAUCGGAAUUACUGGGCGUAAAGCGUGCGCAGGCGGUUUUGUAAGUCAGAUGUGAAAAUCCCCGGGCUUAACCUGGGAACUGCGUUUGAAACUACAAGGCUAGAGUGUGGCAGAGGGGGGGUGGAAUUCCACGUGUAGCAGUGAAAUGCGUAGAGAUGUGGAGGAACACCGAUGGCGAAGGCAGCCCCCCUGGGUUAACACUGACGCUCAGGCACGAAAGCGUGGGGAGCAAACAGG